GCUUUUUAAAAUUACUCAGGUGCCCGCAAGGGCUUGAAAGGGAAUCCCGUGCAAGUCGGGAACGGACCCGCCGCUGUAAUCGGGGACGAACAGCGCAUUAUGCCACUUUCUUCCCGCACUUACUUUUUCUUAAGCUAAAUCUGCAUGAUAGAAAAGUAAGUGCGGGGGUUGGGAAGGCGCGCCUAUUAGAAUGAUCCGAGAGUCAGAAGACCUGCCUGGGUGAGUUGUGCAAC
rnacentral:ncRNA from 2 species